UGAAAUCAAGGGUCAGUCACUGACUGAGCCACCCAGGUGCCCCUUAAAGUUAUACCAUUAACUCCUUUGUUCUCACUAUGGGAAUAGGAAGAAUAUGAAAAGGUAUCUAAUAAGAAUCUGUUUUCCAUGUGGAUAGGAUUUGUCAAGGAAAAACUGCACUGGAUAAAGAUAUACAGCUAUCGUCUCAAUGGGCAUGUGGUCUGCCUUCAAGAUUAAUGAACAACAGCAGUUUAACCAGAUGUUUACCAUAAUAUAAUGAGACUCACCAGCUCCUCGGUCUGCAAUACCUCCUGUCCUCCCAAGUUCUAAACUCUAUUGUCACCUACAUGGUUAUUGUUGCUCACAACACCAUGACUUCAUUUCACCACAUGGGAAGAAUGAAAGAGGUGUAAGGCAUGUGAUUUUUUGAUACAAAAACAUGAUAUGGAAAUUGUGGACAUUGCAUAAACUCAGAUGCUAAUGACUAAAUGGUCACAUCUAGCUGUAAGAAAUGUUAUUAGUAGAGUGAUGCAUUUUAAUCUCUCUUAUACAGGGAAGGAGAAUCUUUAGAGGGAGAGAACAAGAGCUAUGUCAAUAUUUGUAAAACACGUGGCAUAGCAGCUGACAAAUAAUGUUUACUUAAUCAAUGUCUUUUUUGUUGUUUACCAUGCUGUGCCUGAAUCAUUUGGAUUGAAACCGAGAAUAAGACCACUUACCCCUGGUUUAGCAGCUGUGUUAUGGUUCUGUGGCUGCACAAUUUCUUACUGUAUUUACACUGUACAUGGUACUUAAGGUAUAUCAAACAGAGAAUGGCCUAACUUUGAAACUGGCACAAGUGAAGAAUUAAUGACAUUUACUAGUGGCAUAACACUCCCAAUGCUCUUAGUUAACCCUUUAAUGGUG